UGGGGAAUUUUGGACAAUGGGCGAAAGCCUGAUCCAGCAAUGCCGCGUGUGUGAAGAAGGCCUUCGGGUUGUAAAGCACUUUUGUCCGGAAAGAAAUCCUUGGCUCUAAUACAGUCGGGGGAUGACGGUACCGGAAGAAUAAGCACCGGCUAACUACGUGCCAGCAGCCGCGGUAAUACGUAGGGUGCAAGCGUUAAUCGGAAUUACUGGGCGUAAAGCGUGCGCAGGCGGUUUGCUAAGACCGAUGUGAAAUCCCCGGGCUCAACCUGGGAACUGCAUUGGUGACUGGCAGGCUAGAGUAUGGCAGAGGGGGGUAGAAAUUCCACGUGUAGCAGUGAAAAUGCGUAGAGAUGUGGAGGAAUACCGAUGGCGAAGGCAGCCCCCUGGGCCAAUACUGACGCUCAUGCACGAAAAGCGUGGGGAGCAAAACAGGAUUAGAUACCCUGGUAGUCCACGCCCUAAAACGAUGUCAACUAGUUGUUGGGGAUUCAUUUCCUUAGUAACGUAGCUAACGCGUGAAGUUGACCGCCUGGGGAGUACGGUCGCAAGAUUAAAACUCAAAUGAAUUGACGGGGUCAUAGCUGUUUCCU
rnacentral:rRNA from 1 species